rnacentral:rRNA from 1 species
GAGUUUGAUCCUGGCUCAGAUUGAACGCUGGCGGCAUGCCUUACACAUGCAGGUCGAACGGCAGCACGGGAGCUUGCUCCUGGUGGCGAGUGGCGAACGGGUGAGUAAUGCAUCGGAACGUAUCCUGGAGUGGGGGAUAACGUAGCGAAAGUUACGCUAAUACCGCAUAUUCUGUGAGCAGGAAAGCGGGGGACCUUCGGGCCUCGCGCUCUUGGAGCGGCCGAUGUCGGAUUAGCUAGUUGGUGAGGUAAAGGCUCACCAAGGCGACGAUCCGUAGCAGGUCUGAGAGGAUGAUCUGCCACACUGGAACUGAGACACGGUCCAGACUCCUACGGGAGGCAGCAGUGGGGAAUUUUGGACAAUGGGGGCAACCCUGAUCCAGCCAUGCCGCGUGAGUGAAGAAGGCCUCGG